rnacentral:rRNA from 1 species
AACACAUGCAAGUCGAGCGGAGAUGAGGUGCUUGCACCUUAUCUUAGCGGCGGACGGGUGAGUAAUGCUUAGGAAUCUGCCUAUUAGUGGGGGGACAACAUUCCGAAAGGAAUGCUAAUACCGCAUACGUCCUACGGGAGAAAAGCAGGGGAUCUUCGGACCUUGCGCUAAUAGAUGAGCCUAAGUCGGAUUAGCUAGUUGGUGGGGUAAAGGCCUACCAAGGCGACGAUCUGUAGCGGGUCUGAGAGGAUGAUCCGCCACACUGGGACUGAGACACGGCCCAGACUCCUACGGGAGGCAGCAGUGGGGAAUAUUGGACAAUGGGGGGAACCCUGAUCCAGCCAUGCCGCGUGUGUGAAGAAGGCCUUAUGGUUGUAAAGCACUUUAAGCGAGGAGGAGGCUACUGAGACUAAUACUCUUGGAUAGUGGACGUUACUCGCAGAAUAAGCACCGGCUAACUCUGUG